rnacentral:tRNA from 1 species
GUCCCUGUAGCGCAAUGGAUAGCGUGUUGGACUUCUAAUCCAAAGGUCGUUGGUUCAAAUCCCAUCUGGAAUG